UACAGAGGGGGCAAGCGUUGUUCGGAAUUACUGGGCGUAAAGGGCGCGUAGGCGGCCUGCUAAGUCGAACGUGAAAUCCCCGGGCUCAACCCGGGAACUGCGUCCGAUACUGGUAGGCUUGAAUCCGGGAGAGGGAUGCGGAAUUCCAGGUGUAGCGGUGAAAUGCGUAGAUAUCUGGAGGAACACCGGUGGCGAAGGCGAGUCCCUGGACGACUCCUGACACUGAGGCACGAAAGCUAGGGGAGCAAACAGG
rnacentral:rRNA from 1 species